CCCAAAAGAGUUGAAGCUGUUCUUGCUGCAAAGGUUGGACCAACGUCAUAUUGAACCCUAUGGAUUAGGAACGGGAUGUCACUUAAGCUCAUAUGAGCAUUUGAGUGUCUCUGGGUCGGGAUGAAGGUUUCUGAUCUUCAGGAUCAGACAGGCCAAAACUCCAGACUAAUGAAGUAGAGUUAAAGGUUCGUUUCACCUUGUUUCGUUUCGUACCUGGCCGGCUGACUGGGGUAGUGGGAGCGGAUGUGUUGUCCCAGCAUGACUUGAGACUGAUCCUGGAGGUUCUCCACUUGUUCUGGAUCCUUCAAACCUCGAGUUUCUGUUCAGGAGAGAAAAACAUGUUAACUAUUUCUGCACUCUGAAACCCCACAUGUCUYCAUUUAUUCACAUCGAAUACUUAAUUAUUUCAAACACUUUGCUACAAACAUGAAAAAAACUGAUUCAACAAACUUUAGUUAUUUUAUUGGUGCUGUUUUUUAUUACAGAG